rnacentral:rRNA from 1 species
GCUACACAUGCAGUCGAGCGGUAACAGGAGAAGCUUGCUUCUCGCUGACGAGCGGCGGACGGGUGAGUAAUACUUAGGAAUCUACCUAGUAGUGGGGGAUAGCACGGGGAAACUCGUAUUAAUACCGCAUACGACCUACGGGAGAAAGGGGGCAGUUUACUGCUCUCGCUAUUAGAUGAGCCUAAGUCGGAUUAGCUAGAUGGUGGGGUAAAGGCCUACCAUGGCGACGAUCUGUAGCUGGUCUGAGAGGAUGAUCAGCCACACCGGGACUGAGACACGGCCCGGACUCCUACGGGAGGCAGCAGUGGGGAAUAUUGGACAAUGGGGGAAACCCUGAUCCAGCCAUGCCGCGUGUGUGAAGAAGGCCUUUUGGUUGUAAAGCACUUUAAGCAGUGAAGAAGACUCCAUGGUUAAUACCCAUGGACGAUGACAUUAGCUGCAGAAUAAGCACCGGCUAACUCUGUGCCAGCAGCCGCGGUAAUACAGAGGGUGCAAGCGUUAAUCGGAAUUACUGGGCGUAAAGGGAGCGUAGGUGGCUCUAUA